CUCUUCUAAAUAAUUUCUUCUCAUCUUGGAUACAUUUGCAGCAUUGUCUGUGACCAAGCUGCGUACUAGACAUUUGAAAUUUUUUCACACAGUUUGUUAAUGCUUUUACUGCUCCUUCUUUUAAGAAUUCUGCUGUAUGGGCGUUUCCUGAAGUAUCAGUUGUUUCCAUAAGAUAGACAACUCCACCUUCUGUUGUCAAACAAGCACAUAUUACUGGAUCAUUGUGUACGUUACUCCACCCGUCAAGAUUCUCAAUAACAAAUUUCCCAUCAAUGUUUUUUGCACACUGUUCCAUGUCCUCAUAUACUGUAUUCAGCAACCUUCCAGCAAUGUCUGCUCCACCACGUAGAGUAUAGUCUAGUUGUAAUGAUUGAACCAUGUCAGUUAAAAGUUUGUUUUGAACAAGACAAAAAGGGAGAAUUUGUUGCAUACAUGAGCCAAGCAAUCUUUUCAUCUGUAGAGUCUUGCUGGAGUUGGCUGGUCCUGAUUUAUGAACUCAUCCACACUGGAUGAUAGAGUCUUAAAUACAGGUAAUUUACAUGUUUAGUUGUAGCACUGCUGUUUGCUGCCAGCAGAUGACUCCAAAAUUGUAGACAUUUCAGAUGGUGGACACUCUUAUAACCUCUUAUGUCUAAGUGGGACCCUGAAACAAAAUGUGUACUUUAAAAAGAAAAAAAAAAGUUACUCACUUACCAAGCAUGAGUGCACUUCUUUAAAAAAAAAAAAAAAAAAAAAAAAAGAUUAAUGGGAUGUCUCCUACUGCAGCUGUUUAAACCACUGUUUAAAUUAUAUAAAUUGUUCUAAAUUCAAUUUUAUAAGGAAAACAGUAUUUUUAAGGAUUAUCUAAAUCAAUUAAAAUCUUUAUCUCCAGCAAUAUACCAAACUGCUUAAAUUUUUUUAAUGUUAAAAUUCAUAAAUGCCUAAUAAAACUUUACUUUUAAACAGGAAAUGUUCACCAUGAAUAUUUAAUUAUAAUAAUAAAAAAAAAGUCCAGCAGUAACAGUUAAAAUAUAAUUGAUAACUACUCCCACAACAAACUAACAUAGUAAUUAUAUUUUGAACGCACACAUUUUGAAAUUCAUAAAUCUAUCCAAAACACAGAUGUAUGACAGUAAUCCAAGUUAUAAUUUAGCAGCAUAGUAAGGCCUGAUAGGCAGUCCAUAGAACGGUGCAAAAAUAAGUUUACUAGCCAGUUGAUCCAGAUUGUUCAGGCAUGUCCCCAUUAUCAUCUUCAAAGUCACUGCCUUUUGAGGAGCAAUUUUCAUAAUGUUGUUUCAUUCUGAUGGCCUUGCAUCUGUUCAUUCCACUGUUUACAUUUGAUUCCUUUUUUACCCAGAGGUACAGGAAUUUCUUAAAAUAUUCCAAAAUAGGGUCUUGUUUAUAACCUGCAGCCAGGACAAUUUUUUUUCUCCACUUUCCAGGUGUUGAAAUUCACAAUAGAGGCAGCACUCUGAAGAAGAUUGUCCCUUCUUCCCAUAGUAUUGUGCUUUAACAUAAGUGUUGUUCCUUUCUGGGAGCAGACUCUGCUCCUCCUCCUAGUUACAUAACUCUCCCAGCGCACUAACUCCCCCAGAAAAAAAAAAAGAACUAAAAACAUUCAAGACUUCUGCUCAUGUAACCCACAUGCUUUUUUGCACUGCAGUAUUUUAUAUGUUUAAUAAAUAAAAGAGACGGAGGCAGUUGAGAAAUGGGUUUCUGUUUGUUUGUAUCUCUGGUUGUGUACAUAUGCAAGGAGACAGAGCAGGGCUAUUUACCUGAAGUGCUCAGAACCAUCCAGAAGCAAGGACUGGUAGUUACUGGGCAGACAGUGUUUUCCCGUUAGUUAAGUUUUCAUGGUGGAUGGAGUCAUAAAUAUUCAUAAUUUGAGAACGGAGCCAAACAGAGCUCAGGUAGAGAGAUGGUAUAAAAUAAGAGCACACAUCCAGGCAUGCUCAGUGGAUGAUCUUGAUGAGAUACAUGAUGGUGUCUCCUGGAGUCAGAGCUAGGUCCUAACGUUUGUGAUGACUUUGCCAAUCUCUUGCACCAAGUAGCACAGCCCCCAGGUCCAUCACAGGAACAAGCCCUUAAUAUAGUACAUGACCUUUUGUGCCAUAUUUAUAAAGCUUGACCUCAAAUGUUAGAUUUUCCCCCGAUUCUUUCUCUAUAUAGAAUAGCAACCUUGAACUCAAAGUUUCCGAUAGAUGCUCAAUCGGGGAUUCAGCACAUUUAUUUUUUAUUUAAAUGUUUUAAGACAUAAGUAGUUUAGGACUUAACAUAUUUUGUAUUAAAUUCAGAUUUCUUUUAAACAGUUUUAUUUUUAAAAAAUAACUCAAUUUAAAUAACAAAAAUCUGAUUUAAAUAAGAAAAUUACGCUUUUGAUUUUUAUUUAAAAGAAUCAGAUUUUUAUCUUCUAUUGGAGAUGAUUAAAACAUGUAUUGAAUCAGAGUCCCAAACUGGUUUGUUGUUGCUGGUCACAUGGCUCUGGCUCUUCUUGUUUCCACCUAUAAUUAAAUACAGGUAAAAUCAUAUUACUUUCCAGAAGAGGUGAUCUGCAGUUUUAAGAGUGGGAGGGGUAGUGAUCCAUAACAGUCUCUUUAUUA